rnacentral:rRNA from 1 species
ACAUACGACCACAAGGUGUGGAGAACAGGGCUUCCCGUCCGCUCAGCCGUACUUAAGCCACACGCCGGUAAGUUAGUAGUUAGGUGGGUGACCACUAGCGAAUCCUUACUGUUGUAUGUU